rnacentral:tRNA from 1 species
GUUAAUGUAGCUUAAACUCAAAGCAAGGCGCUGAAAAUGCCUAGAUGAGUACAUCUACUCCAUAAACA